CUCAGACUUAGUGCAUUCUCCGGUCGGGGUUGUUAAAGAAAUCAAUCGUUCUUGUGGUGGUUGGUGUCCUAGCCGGCUACUUUAGGCUGACUGUGCUGUAGCGUGGGUGACGGAUAGACUUCACUCGAAAGCAAGGUGGUACAGCUGUGAGCUUCCAGAUUGAACCAUCUUGCCCAUCAAAGAACCGUUGAAAUAGAAAGGGUUCCUCUGAGUCGCUAUUACCUGGACCCUAUUGGACCCCUUUCUUCUUGGAGUGCAAGAGCUGAAGUCAAGUCUGCCUAUGAAACGUCGCCAAUUAUAUAACUUUUCCCUAAAGAAUAAUGUAUCAAAAGUAAAGUGAAAUUAUGUAUCCAUGCUCUAUUAUGUCCAUUAUGUAUA